rnacentral:rRNA from 1 species
UUAAGCGACUAAGCGUACACGGUGGAUGCCCUGGCAGUCAGAGGCGAUGAAGGACGUGCUAAUCUGCGAUAAGCGUCGGUAAGGUGAUAUGAACCGUUAUAACCGGCGAUUUCCGAAUGGGGAAACCCAGUGUGUUUCGACACACUAUCAUUAACUGAAUCCAUAGGUUAAUGAGGCGAACCGGGGGAACUGAAACAUCUAAGUACCCCGAGGAAAAGAAAUCAACCGAGAUUCCCCCAGUAGCGGCGAGCGAACGGGGAGGAGCCCAGAGCCUGAAUCAGUGUGUGUGUUAGUGGAAGCGUCUGGAAAGGCGCGCGAUACAGGGUGACAGCCCCGUACACAAAAAUGCACAUGCUGUGAGCUCGAUGAGUAGGGCGGGACACGUGGUAUCCUGUCUGAAUAUGGGGGGACCAUCCUCCAAGGCUAAAUACUCCUGACUGACCGAUAGUGAACCAGUACCGUGAGGGAAAGGCGAAAAGAACCCCGGCGAGGGGAGUGAAAAAGAACCUGAAACCGUGUACGUACAAGCAGUGGGAGCCUCUUUUAUGGGGUGACUGCGUACCUUUUGUAUAAUGGGUCAGCGACUUAUAUUCUGUAGCAAGGUUAACCGAAUAGGGGAGCCGAAGGGAAACCGAGUCUUAACUGGGCGUUAAGUUGCAGGGUAUAGACCCGAAACCCGGUGAUCUAGCCAUGGGCAGGUUGAAGGUUGGGUAACACUAACUGGAGGACCGAACCGACUAAUGUUGAAAAAUUAGCGGAUGACUUGUGGCUGGGGGUGAAAGGCCAAUCAAACCGGGAGAUAGCUGGUUCUCCCCGAAAGCUAUUUAGGUAGCGCCUCGUGAAUUCAUCUCCGGGGGUAGAGCACUGUUUCGGCAAGGGGGUCAUCCCGACUUACCAACCCGAUGCAAACUGCGAAUACCGGAGAAUGUUAUCACGGGAGACACACGGCGGGUGCUAACGUCCGUCGUGAAGAGGGAAACAACCCAGACCGCCAGCUAAGGUCCCAAAGUCAUGGUUAAGUGGGAAACGAUGUGGGAAGGCCCAGACAGCCAGGAUGUUGGCUUAGAAGCAGCCAUCAUUUAAAGAAAGCGUAAUAGCUCACUGGUCGAGUCGGCCUGCGCGGAAGAUGUAACGGGGCUAAACCAUGCACCGAAGCUGCGGCAGCGACACUAUGUGUUGUUGGGUAGGGGAGCGUUCUGUAAGCCUGUGAAGGUGUACUGUGAGGUAUGCUGGAGGUAUCAGAAGUGCGAAUGCUGACAUAAGUAACGAUAAAGCGGGUGAAAAGCCCGCUCGCCGGAAGACCAAGGGUUCCUGUCCAACGUUAAUCGGGGCAGGGUGAGUCGACCCCUAAGGCGAGGCCGAAAGGCGUAGUCGAUGGGAAACAGGUUAAUAUUCCUGUACUUGGUGUUACUGCGAAGGGGGGACGGAGAAGGCUAUGUUGGCCGGGCGACGGUUGUCCCGGUUUAAGCGUGUAGGCUGGUUUUCCAGGCAAAUCCGGAAAAUCAAGGCUGAGGCGUGAUGACGAGGCACUACGGUGCUGAAGCAACAAAUGCCCUGCUUCCAGGAAAAGCCUCUAAGCAUCAGGUAACAUCAAAUCGUACCCCAAACCGACACAGGUGGUCAGGUAGAGAAUACCAAGGCGCUUGAGAGAACUCGGGUGAAGGAACUAGGCAAAAUGGUGCCGUAACUUCGGGAGAAGGCACGCUGAUAUGUAGGUGAAGUCCCUCGCGGAUGGAGCUGAAAUCAGUCGAAGAUACCAGCUGGCUGCAACUGUUUAUUAAAAACACAGCACUGUGCAAACACGAAAGUGGACGUAUACGGUGUGACGCCUGCCCGGUGCCGGAAGGUUAAUUGAUGGGGUCAGCGCAAGCGAAGCUCUUGAUCGAAGCCCCGGUAAACGGCGGCCGUAACUAUAACGGUCCUAAGGUAGCGAAAUUCCUUGUCGGGUAAGUUCCGACCUGCACGAAUGGCGUAAUGAUGGCCAGGCUGUCUCCACCCGAGACUCAGUGAAAUUGAACUCGCUGUGAAGAUGCAGUGUACCCGCGGCAAGACGGAAAGACCCCGUGAACCUUUACUAUAGCUUGACACUGAACAUUGAGCCUUGAUGUGUAGGAUAGGUGGGAGGCUUUGAAGUGUGGACGCCAGUCUGCAUGGAGCCGACCUUGAAAUACCACCCUUUAAUGUUUGAUGUUCUAACGUGGACCCGUGAUCCGGGUUGCGGACAGUGUCUGGUGGGUAGUUUGACUGGGGCGGUCUCCUCCUAAAGAGUAACGGAGGAGCACGAAGGUUGGCUAAUCCUGGUCGGACAUCAGGAGGUUAGUGCAAUGGCAUAAGCCAGCUUGACUGCGAGCGUGACGGCGCGAGCAGGUGCGAAAGCAGGUCAUAGUGAUCCGGUGGUUCUGAAUGGAAGGGCCAUCGCUCAACGGAUAAAAGGUACUCCGGGGAUAACAGGCUGAUACCGCCCAAGAGUUCAUAUCGACGGCGGUGUUUGGCACCUCGAUGUCGGCUCAUCACAUCCUGGGGCUGAAGUAGGUCCCAAGGGUAUGGCUGUUCGCCAUUUAAAGUGGUACGCGAGCUGGGUUUAGAACGUCGUGAGACAGUUCGGUCCCUAUCUGCCGUGGGCGCUGGAGAACUGAGGGGGGCUGCUCCUAGUACGAGAGGACCGGAGUGGACGCAUCACUGGUGUUCGGGUUGUCAUGCCAAUGGCACUGCCCGGUAGCUAAAUGCGGAAGAGAUAAGUGCUGAAAGCAUCUAAGCACGAAACUUGCCCCGAGAUGAGUUCUCCCUGACUCCUUGAGAGUCCUGAAGGAACGUUGAAGACGACGACGUUGAUAGGCCGGGUGUGUAAGCGCAGCGAUGCGUUGAGCUAACCGGUACUAAUGAACCGUGAGGCUUAACCU